CGGUGGAGAAGCGGACGCGUCGUCGAUCCGGUCGACGAGGGUCGCUGAAGUGGACUGGCUAGGUGGAGUGGACUGGCGGAAAGGCGGCACGGUCGAAGGCAGCACACGCAGGUUCGCUACUUUCGUUUGGACGAGUUUCCAAUGCCGUUAAUACGUUCGAACGACACGAGAGAUAUCGAGGCGAGGUGUUUUCUUCUCUCGAGACGAAUAGUUGAACCUGACGUUUCAUUUCAAGCGUCACGUUUAUAGCGUUUCAAAAGUCGAUCCUCUUGUCGCUCAAACAUCCACAGUCACAACAAUCCGGCGGGUGGUUGCCGAUGGACGGACAGCUGUCCAUCCGGACAAGAGGGAUGCCAUGCCAAAGAGGUAGGCAUAUUGGCAGGCGGACGGGAGAGGAAAAAAGGAGGGAGGGGAGGGGAGCCGGUCGACCGAAGGUUUGUGUCAGAUGCGGUCGCGAUAUCGGCGGCCCCCGCCGUCCCCCCGCCUCGAAGCCCCGUGUACCUGUCAUUUUCGGUGACCGUGUCAUUCAGAGACUGUAUUCCCUUCCACGAGGGAUUCCUCGUGCGGAGGAACGAAGAGAGAUAGCCGAGGCGAAGCUAGGAGAUAAGGAUAGCCUGGGAUACCUGACGAGAGGCCAUCGAUGCGAGCGACGAGCCAAUAACGAUGCGUCGUAUUCUCUGCCGCUGGAAAUGUAAAAGUUUUUACGUUGAACGGAUGAGAAAAAUCGAUUCGUCGAUUCUCUCUUACGUUUGAUUUUUAGGAGGAAGGAAAAGGAUGGUUUUGGGAGCGAGAGAGAGAGAGAGAGAAAAUUGAAGAGGAAGAUACGUAUCCCCAUCGAGGAGAUGUUAAUUAAUGCGCGCCAGAAGAAAGCAGUCCUCCGAGAUAGAUAAUGAUCCGGUUUUCGAGCUAUGGGCCCGUGAUGAUGAUGAGGAUGAUGAGGAUGACGACGAUUCGGAAAGUCAUCGUCGCGUCCGUCGCGCCCUUCUUUACCUACAGAGUUCGUCGAAUCUUAUCAAAUUUCGACGAGCCAGUUUGUUGUGAAACCGAUACGCGAUCCGUAUGAAAUUUUUAAUGCGUGGAAAAUUGUCGAAAGUGUCAGCGAUCAAAAAUUAUUGUUAUUCGAGAAGAUGUUUCAUUGUUUCUAUCGUUAUCGAAAAUUGGAGCGGCGAGUCUGACCCAUUUUGCGCGAAACAACGAUGAAAGAGAGGAAACGAGAGGACUGGAAAUGGAAGCGUUCCGUGGCAGUUUGUUGGAGCACUUGGAGCAACAGAAGCAAUAGCAGCAAUGGCCAUUCCGACGGUGGCGGCGGCGGCGGCGGCGGCAGCAACGGCAGCUUUAGCGGACGGCCGGCGAUCAUCCAUCACGAAGGUGUCAGCCUCCCCCUCCGGCCAGAAACAACUAGCUAUGACAUUCUUCGCGCUGCCACUGCUUCCUUUUUGCCUUUUACCACUCUCCAUCCUCUCCUCUCCUCCUUUCUUUUUCAUUUCCCUUUGCUUUGCUGUCCCUCCCCCCCCUCCCUCUCUUUUUUCCUCACCAUUUUCCUCGGGACGAGAAGAGAGAAUUUCGAGCGAAUCGAGUGGAAGAGGAAUUUUCUAUGAAAGAGGAGAAUAAUGAUGAAAGAGAUUCGAAUUGAAAAGGAAUAUUUGAUAACAAUUUGUAAAAAGAUUCUCUUUUUCUAAAUUUUAUCACUCGUGUAAAAUAAACACGGUCGAUAAACACACUUUUAUCCAUUAUGGUCGGAAAAAUUUUCUGAUAUUUUUAUUUUCAAUAGUGGAUUAUUUGUUUUUAACUUAAUCAAGACCAAAAUGGGGAAUAGGAGGGUGAAAAUACCACUGGAGGGGAAAACACGCCACACGGGUUUUCUUCUCGGCCGAGGGUCGCAACGGUAAUGUUUUAAUUAAGACAAACGCGGUCGUUGGUUAAAUAUGGUAACGACUUCUGUCCGACAAUGGGAAUCAAUCAUGCACGCGUGUGCUGAUCGUCAGCCGAUAAAAAAGCGCGGCCACGAGCAAGCCGCGUUUCCAACGAAAAAACUCUUGUUAGUUAUACGUCCGUUGCGAAUUGGAAUUUCUGCCGACCGUUUAACGAAUAAAUAUUUUACGACGAAAAACAAAUCUUUCCUCUUCGAAGAGAUCGAUUUGUCCAAGAUUUAUCCAUCCACUCUCGUUUCGAUAUCUAAUUUCAAAUAUUUCAAGAGAUCGAAAGAGAUGGAAAGAAUAGUUUCUUCGGUGUGGAUUGGAGAAAUGGAAGGAGUAUGUUUUUCUGAGAGAGAGAGAAAGAGAGAGAGAGAGAGAGAGAGAGAGGAAGGAUUUGAGUGUAAGUCGGGGAAAAAGGGGCUGUUGACAAGGAACGGCAGUUGUGAAGUUUUUCGGGGGUACGGGUAGGGUAACGUACAAUUCUAUUUGUUGGAUGAUUGUACCGCUGCGAAAUCAAGUCUGACGAAGAUCGAUCGGACGGUAUUUCGGGCGUCAACACACGGGAUCGUCGGUUCCCCUGUUCAAUCCAACUAAGGUCGGGGUCCGACGUCACUCUCUCGCAGAUGCUGCCAAUCCUGGCUAAAGUUUCUAUUAAGAAAUUCCAUUUAAUGAAAACGCGUUCCAGGGUUCGGGCGUUUAACGCGAGAAGGCACAAUGCUGCCUUGAUUUCGGACUUGUAUUGAAAAGAAGGAAAGAACGGAUAUAUACGGAAUGGACGUUGCAGAAUUGGAUGCAAUGUACUGGUCGAUACGUAUACAAGUUUGUAUAAUUGUUUGGUAAAAUUGUUUUUAAGAUUGUGGAGAUUUAGGGAGACGUUUCUAGUAAUUAGAAAUUAUGUUAUUUGUUUAUAUAAUAGGAAUAUCAAAUGAAUAUUAAUUAUAA